rnacentral:lncRNA from 1 species
GCAAUUUAGUACAUCAGCAUCCAAGUUAACAGGCUUUCAUUCUAGAGAGGUCCUGCCACAUAUCUCGGAGGAAGAAAUGCUACACAGAGAAACCAAGAAGAAUGUGAACAGACAGGUCUUGCUGAAUCUGCCUCCCCCUCAGUCUAUUACCCUUAGAGCAUACCCCCUUGUCCAGUCACAUUUCUACAUGGCUAUCUGUACUUCAUUAAAUUAUCAAAUCAGAAACUUUAGCAUAAAAAGUUUUCCCUGGGUUUUGUGGUUUUCAUUUCUGAAGUCUC